rnacentral:rRNA from 12 species
GACCUCAGAUCAGUCAAGACUACCCGCUGAAUUUAAGCAUAUUAAUAAGCGGAGGAAAAGAAAACAACAGUGAUUGCCCUAGUAAUGGCGAAUGAAGCGGCAAAAGCUCAAAUUUGAAAUCUCCUUCGGGCGAAUUGUAGUUUAGAGAACCGUUAUCCGGCUUAGCUCUGGUCAAAGUUCCUUGGAACAGGACAUCAUGGAGGGUGAGAAUCCCGUUUAUGACUGCGAGCGAGGCUUUACGAUGCGUGUUCGACGAGUCGGGUUGCUUGGGAGUGCAGCCCCAAAUGGGUGGUAAAUUUCAUCUAAAGCUAAAUAUUGGCACGAGACCGAUAGCGAACAAGUACCGUGAGGGAAAGAUGAAAAGCACUUUGAAAAGAGAGUUAAAAGUAUGUGAAACCGUUGAAAGGGAAGCGAUUGAAGUCAGGUGUGAAC